GCCUGCGCCUCUCCACCUCGCGCCUCUCCUCAGUUCCCAGCGCCUCCCUCCCCCUUCACUUUCUUGAUCUCUGCGUCACUUUCUCUUCAGGGACCUAAAAGGAUUCAGCUGCUGCUCGUUCCAGCCAUUAGAUAGCUCCCCCACCCGACUCGGCCGGCCGGCCACUUCUCCUUUCCUGCCUGCAGUCCCGAUCCAGACCUGUUGCGUUUGCUGCCCACCUGGCUCCUGGCUGCUUCGUUCUGCCUGCCUGUUUCUCUGCUGCUGCUCCUGACCUCUCUCUCGCUCAUCUAGCCCCCCUGAUUCAACCAAGAUUGCAAUCACCUGGUGACAUGCCUGCCCAACAAACCCAGAUCCUCGGAGCAGAUCAACCAGCUGGUAACAGGGGAUUAGGCUCCACGUGGGCGGAGUGGAUCGGAGGAGGGGAAGAGACUAGAGGAGAAGAAACAUAUUUUUCAAGCAGAAACUUAAAAAGCAAUGGGCUAUUUAAAAGGAUACCUUUAGACUGUUCUGGUAAUUUCAUUGAUUUCACCUGUGUGCCAGAAGAAAGAUUCAGCCCAAAGAUUCAACUUUGAAUUUGCAAAUGGGUGGCUCAGGGAACUGAGAGCCAGGCCUACAGACAUGCGGUCCUGGGUUAAAAUCUGGCCUCAGAUACUUCCCAGCUGUGGGUCCCUGAGCAGAUCCAAUAACCCCCAUUGCCUAGCCCUUACUACUCUGCCUUUGGACAAAAGACAUUUAAAUGGAUAAUUAAUUAAAAACACACACACACACACACACACACACCUAAGGAACUUUAAAGACUGGAGGUUAUGAUUUUAAGGCAUUUCAGACUCCAAUGGUUUAUAAAAAAUCUCUGCAUUCUAUUGUAUUUUUCCUUAUUGUUUUGUUUAAGAUAUAACUUUGUGAUUUUAAGUUCAUAUAUUACUGGAUUCAAUAUUAUUCUGUUACACUGUUCAUUUAAUGUACUGAGUUUUAAAAAUUCUGUUGUUUUUCCCCUAUAACUGUGCUGAACAAAUAUUAUUGUAAUUAAGCCCAUAUUUUAAAAAAAACAGCCUUUCUAUUUUGAGUUUGUAAAUUGUCACAUAGAGGAUAAAUGGACUUCAGGACUGGUUAUAAUUGUAUAACAACCUUUGGAAAAUUUAAUGUGCUAAAUAUCUCAAAUGAUUUUAAGGGUUUUUAAAAUAUGAUUUUUGUAAUUUUUUUAACAAUCUCUGGUUAUUUUGCCUUCCCCUACCACGAGGUAAGGUCUAUAGCUGAAGUUAAAUAUAUUUUAUAAACCCCAACCUUCCCACAUGUGAAUGGAAGUUGGGAAGUUAAUAUCAGGGUAUUUGUAUCCCUAAAAAGCCUCCAAAAAAGGAGCACCCCUUUAUUUAUACUCUUCAGCUCACUAUUUUACUUCCACCAGAAUGAUAUAUAGAUUUCUUGAUUAUGUUCUUAACCCAAGAUGAGUUUUACUUUGUUUAAAAUAUGUUUAUUACCAGGUUGAAAGAUUUGCUAUGUUUGUAAAACUUGUGACAAAUGUCCAUCAAUUCAUAAGUUUUUAAAAUGCCAUACAGCAACUUAUGUGAAAUAUGAUAGUGUGUUUCUUUGCUAUUGUAAUUAAUUGGGCUAUUGAGAAUUUUGGGGAUAUUGAUACUACAUAUUUGUACUACUAUUCUUUAAAAAUGAAAAAUAUACCUUGCUCAAUUCAUUUGCCUCAUACCUACAGUGGAGCAUGGCUAGACAUGAAGAGGAAAUGGAUCUCAGUUUUGGUGAGAAAGCCUUGUAUUUUAUAUUUUCUUAGAAUACAAGUUUAAGAUACAUUUGCUAAUGCAUGCCCUAAAAAGCUUGUGACUAUAAAAAUGAUGCCACUAAUUAUUUAAAACUUUAUGGGACUUUGCUUAAUGAUCCUGUCUGAUUCCAGGACAAGAUAUACACACAAGAGCCAUUGCACAGGGCCAAAGAAAAGCAAAUCCAGGAUGGAUUGAUGCACUUCUAGGCCAAUACAAAGGUCUUGAACCUAGUGUGAAGACUCGAGGUUACUGUGUUUAACAUUGUUAGACAUAGGCUUUCCUUGUGUCCACACUCACUCUGAACAUACUCACAGACGAGUAUCCCCAAAACCUUGGCUCCUAUAAUCUGGUCCCCUUUUCUGUCUUUCAUAGUGUGGUACCUUUCUGUAGUCCUGGCUAUUGACUGGGUAAAUGCAUCAUUGCUUAGAUCAUUUUGAUUGGGCCCUGAUUGAAGGACCUGUUAUAGAUUUAUUUUUUACACAUAAGACUUUGAUAGUCUAUAUUUUCAUCCAGAAAUUUUUCUUUCUUUAUUUGGAUUUUUCUGAUAUCUUUUUAAUAUCUCUUGCCAAUUGAUUCAUAUACCUCAUACCUCAGCCAUGCAUCCCUAAGUAAUUCUGUUUUUUUUUUUUUAAUCACCCUCUUAAUGGGGGGAAUGUAAAAAAAAUAGCAUUAUUUAAAUUGCAAAGUUUAAAUUCCUUUUGAGAAAAAUUUUGGGUAAAAAAGAAGCUACCUCUCUGAAUCCAGAACUGAACUGUUGGAGAAGAUACCAUGAAGAAGCCUCCAGACCAGCCAGCUGCACAAAAAUUGAACUUUGGGUGUAGUUGAUUGAACAUUUAUUUGUAUGUAUACUUUCAUGCCAAAGGAGACUGCCCCCUAACUGGCUUUUUGGCAAUGCGUUCAGCAAUUAUUGGUUUUGUUUUUUUUCUUCAAAACACAUGCAACGCUCAUUCCACCAGCACCUGGUGCUCUGCAUGAAUGUUAUCCCCAGUAGGCCAGCGAUGUUUGCUGUUAUUAUAGCCGCCUCCACCACUUCCUCCUCCCCCAAGCUGCUCACCAUGCUGCCUCUGAAAGAAGUAAUCCACCAUGGCGUCGUCCUGGGAGCGGCCUGCAACCCCUAUGGAUCCUGGGACCGGGCUUGAGUGAGUCCCUGCUGUAAGCGCCGCUGUUGCUGUGCCUGGGACCCUGCUGUUCUAGAUGUCAAAACAACAGGCAUGUUGGGAUUAGCUGUUUCUUGCAUGUGCUGUUUCAGGUGGGGGCUGAAGGAGUCCUGCCAGAGCACUGCUAAAAUUAAAACAGUUGUGUUCUAUCUAAUUUAAGGAGAGAGAAGAAAAAAAUUGAACUUACCUCUACAGCUGAUCAAAAUAAGCUAUUAAAAGCUGAUUUCGGGAUAGUCACAAUAAAGAAGAAGUAUAGGAAAGUUAAGAAGAUUGAGAGUAUUUCAUCACAACCGAUGUGGUCGGCCAAAAAUAUUAAAAAUUUAAUUGUGGUUGGACUCUGAGAAGGAAGAUAUUAAGAGAGAAAGAGAGAGAGACAGAGACACAGAGAGAGAGACAGACAGAGACAGAGAGAGAGUCAGACAGAGACAGAGAGAGACAGAGACAGAGAGAGAGACAGAGAGAGAGACAGACAGAGACAGAGAGAGAGACAGAGACAGAGAGAGAGACAGACAGAGACAGAGACAGAGAGACAGAGACAGACAGACAGACAGACAGAGAAAGAGAGACAGAGAGAGAGAGAGACUUCACAUCUCCAGAAAGGCGGGGUCACUAAAUCAGUCUUUCACUCACCAACAGUGAUCACCUAAAGGGAAAUAAGUCUGAGGUCUCCUGCACAGGUUCCUCCAGGGGUCCAGUUCCUCCAGUCCAACUCUGAGUCAGAGAUCUCCUCCAUCCAAAUGUCUUCUUCUGGCCUCUGGUCCUCCUUUUAAAGAUCUUUUUCUCUUGUGUCAUCUCCCCUAAAUUUCACAUAUAACAAUCACAAUAGACAUUUUUCCCCAGGACUGCCCACUCUUUAGUUCACACCUUUGGUUAGAUUAUACCUUUUGUGUUACCACCUUUUUUGGUUAGUUCACCUUUUGUAGUUACUUAACACCUUUUUAUAGUUAAAAUGGGUAGAUCUACUUAAAAUAUUGAGUUACCACCUUUUUGGGGAUUAAGAUCUAAAAUUCGAUUGUGGAUUACAAUGCAAUUUUUCCAAUAAAGGAAGAGCUAAGAACCUUCAUUGGUACAAUCAGGAGAUUACAAUUUAAUCUUCACAAUAAAGGAAGAGCUAAAUAUUUUCAUUGUUACAGAGGAUUACAACUUAAUCUUCACACUAAUAUUUUCCAAACAUAUAAUAUCAUCAAUAAAUAGGGAUAGUUUUAGCCCUUUACCUAUCUUUAUACCUUUAAUUCCUUUCUCCUGUUUUAGUGUUGCUACUUGCAUUUCCAGAUUAUAUUAGAUAAUAGUGGGAAAGAGUGGGCAUCCUUGCUUUAUCCCUGAAUUUGUUGGGAAAGAUUCUAGAAUAUCUCCAUGGCAUAUGAUACUUGCUUUUGGUUUUAGAUAGAUGCUUUUUAUAAUAUUAAAAUAGUUCCCUCUAUAACUAUUCUUUGCAAUAUUAUUAGCUUAAGAGUGUCCUGGACUUUAUCAAAGGCUUAUUCUGCAUCUGCUGACAUGAUUAUGUGGUUUUGGAUCUUUGGGUUUUAUUUACUUAUUUUUUAAAACCCCUAUCUUCCAUCUUAGAUUCAGUACUGUGUAUUGCUUCCAAAGCAGAAGAGUGGUUAGGGUUAGGCAAUGUGGGCUAAGAUCAGACAGCUUGGAAGUGACUAAGUCCAGUUUUGAAGCCAGAACCUCCCUUGUCUAGGCCUGGUUCUCAAUCCACUGAGCCACCUAGCUGCCCCCAAUCUUUUAGUUUUUAAUAUGAUUUACCACAUUAUUACUAUUCCUAAUGUUGAUCUAUCCUUGCAUCCCUUGUAUAAAUAGAAUUUGGUCAUAAUGAAUAAUUUUUUAAAUAAAUCUCUGUAGGCUUUUUGACUGGAUUUUGUUUAAAAUGUUAAAAGUCAAUAUUCCUUAAUGAUAUUGGCCUACAGUUUUCCUUCUGUAUCCUGCUUUAGAUUUUAUAACUAUGUUUGUCUCAUAAAAGGAUUCUGACAGGGUACUUUCUCAAUUUUUAAAAUUAACUUGUGCAAUACAGCUUUUAAUUAUUUGUUUGUUUAAUUUGUUUAAUUUUUUUAAAAGUCUGAUAGAAUUCUUUUGUGAAUUAAUCAGGACCAGGAAUUUUGUUUUUAGUUUUUUCCUUUAGUAGUUUCUUUUUAACUAGUUCUAUUUCUUUUUCUAAGACUGAAUAUUUAAGAUCUCUAUCUGGUUUUCUCAUAGUUUGAGUAUUUCAUAUUUUUAAAUAUACUCCUUCAUUUUACAUACUCAAUUUUUCAAGCACUUAACUUUAUAAUAUAUUCUGAUUAUCCUUUUUAUUUCUUCAAGUUCUGUUGUGAUUUCACCUUGCUCUUUUGCUAAUUUAUUUGAUUUUCUGCCCUUGUCUUUCUAACUAGAAUAGCUAAUCAGUAUUAUUAGUUUUAUUGCCCCCAAAGAAUCAGCAUUUGGUUGUAAUUUUCAUGUACAUAUUCUUUAGUUACCAGUUUUUUUCUCUCUUAAUUCUUGAUGUCUCCUCUUAUGCACUUAUUUUAGGUUUGUUUAUUUAUUUGUUUCUAAUUUUAUUCAGUUCAUUAAUCCUCUCUUUUGCUAUUCUGCUAAUGUCCGUUUUUAGGGCUAUGAUUUUUCCCUGAGAACUGGUUUAGCUGCAUCCAAGAUAUUUUUGGUAUGUUGUUUCAUCAUUAUUAUUUUCUUUCAUAUAAUUAUUAAUUGUUUCUAUGAUUUGUUCUUUGACCUAUUCUUUAUUUAGGAUUUCUUUGUAAAAGCUCAAUUGGGUAUGUGUCCUUUAUUUAUUGAGUUAUGAUCUAUAAAGGACAUAUUUACUAUUUCUGUCAUUUUACAUUUGUUUGCAAUAUAUGUUUCAUAACAAAUGGUCAGUUUUUUGUAAAAGUUCCAUGUCAUUCUGAGAAAUGCACCAAUUCUUUUGCCUUCCAAUUUGAAGAUACCAUAUGUUGUUUAACUCUAGUUUCUCCAGAAAUUUAUUCGCUUCCAUAUUUUCUCUUUUGUUUAUCUUUCUGUUAAUAAAAUUGAGAGAGACCUCUGAAGUCUCCUGUCACUAUUAUGUUAUUGUCUCUAUUUUCUUGUAGCUCAGUUAACAUUUAUUUUAAGAAUGUGGAUGCUAAGGCAUUUGGAGUACAUAUAUCUCUUACAGAUAUUGGUUUGUUUUCUCUAUGGCUCUUUUCAACAUAAUGCAUUUUUCUUAUUUAUCCUUUUUUUAAAUUUUUCAAAUGUUUUUAUUUUGUUAGAAUUGUUGUUACUGGAGACAGUUGGGUGGCUCAGUGGAUUGAGAGCCAGGCCUAGAGACAGGAGUUCUUAGGUUCAAACCUGGCCUCAGACACUUCCUAACUGUUUGACCCUGGGCAAGUCACUUUGAAGGUAACACAAGCACUGACAAAUCCUGAGAUCAAAGAUGUGAUCACGCUAUUCCUCAUGGCAAUGGCCAAGGGUCAGUAAAACAAAAUAUCUUUGUAAAAGCAAUUUUCUUGUUGUGACCAUAUCAGAAACUCACAGGGUUAAUAAGUAAUGAAACCUUCAAUAAAAAGAAAUGAUUCGGGGGUUAAUCCUAAAUUCUUGAGUUUGGCUUAAUUUGACUUUCUCAAAAGGGACCCAUUCUGGCUCUCCUAAUCAACAUUGCCAGGGCCUUGUAAAAUUAACAUAUCAUAUGGCCUUUACCUCUGAGAAGGGAAGCUAGAGAUAAGAUACCUUACUUGGAGCUUACCAAGGUUCCUAUAAAGUCAGUUUCCAAGAAUUGUCUCUAUCACCUCUUACAUAUUCAUAUAGUCAUAAGAAAAUGGGUAUCCACCCUGUAAAAAAGAGAAUUUUGGCUAAUCUUUGUUAACACAAGACUUGUACCUUUAAUAUGACCUAUUGUAAUGUUUAUCCCCGAUAGCAGUGAGAGAUAAUGGAUUUACUGGCAAAUAAAAAGUUGGAAUUGGAAACCCCAAAUGAAGAGGCUGAGAGGCUUUUUCCUAAAUCUACCUUUGUCUCUGUUUUUCUUCUCUCCCUCCCCUAUUCCAUAUUUCCUGUCUGCAGCCCCUCCACAGUUCAAGAACCAGCCUGGUGUUUAUGAUACAUCUGGAUGAAACAUACUUAACCCUCAUUGCCUAGCCCUUACUGCUUUUCUGCCUUAGAACUAAUACAUAGUAUUAUUAGUUAGAUUCUAAGAUGGAGGGUAAGGGUUUUUCAUAAAUUGUUGUUACUUCUGCUUUUUAAAAAUUACUUUGGUACAUGGUCAAAUUUUUCUCCGUGUUAUUAUUUAUUUAAUUAUUGUUUAUUAAAUCUCAGUUUUGUUUUUAUGUCUUUGUUUUUUAAAUGUAUCUUAUCCAAUCUGUAACUUUUUUUUCAUUUACUGGAUUAUUUAAUCCAUGCACAUAAUUUCUUCCAUUUGUUUCUGAUUUUUUUAAACCCUUACCUCCCGUCUUGGAAUCAAUACUCUGUAUUGGUUCCAAAGCAGAAGGGUGGUAAGGGCUAGGCAAUGCGGGUCAAGUAACUUGCCCAAGGUUAUACAGCUGGGAAGUGUCUGAGGUCAGAUUUGAAUCUAGGACCUCCUGUCUCUAGGCCUGGCUCUCAAUCCACUGAGCUACCCAGCUGCCCUCUGUUUCUGGUUUUUUAAAAGAUAUGAUUUUUCUCUCUUCUGCUGUAAACAUAAUAUUGUGUCUCAGCAUUUAUUUUAAUUUUUUUUAAGUGACCCUAUUCCUAGAUAAGGAGUAAAUGACCUCAGCAAUCUAGUGUUUGAUAAACCCAAAGAUGCCAGCUUUUGGGAUAAGAACUGACUAUUUGACAGAAACUGCUGGGAAAAUUAGAAAACAGUAUGGCAAAAAUUAGGUUUAGAUAAUUAUCUCACACACUAUAUCAGUGAUGGUGAACUUUUAGAAGGGCCAGUGAUGAUGUUGAGAAAUGUCCUCAGGCACUGGUAGAGUUGGGGAGACUGCCUACAUCCCUCUGACUUUCUAGUAAGGAACUCCCCUGAGUUCUGUACUAGGGUGACAGGCAUGCCCGCAGAGAGGGCUCUGAGUGCCUCUUCUGGCAUGUAUGCCAUAGAUUUGCCGCCAUGACCCUAUACCAAGAUACAGGCAAAAUGGGUCCAUGAUUUAAACAUAAAAAGUGAUGUUAUAAGUAAAUUAGAGGGAUGUAGAAUAGUUUACCUGUCCAAUCUAUGGAAAAAAGAAGAAUUUAAUAUCAAACGAGAGAUAGAGAACAUUGUAAGAUAUAAAAUGAAAUUUUUUGAUUAUAUUAAAUUAAAAAGGUUUUAUAUAAACAAAACCAGUGUAAGGAAAAUUAGAAGGGAAGCAACAUACUCAGAAAAAAUAAAACAAAUUUCUCAGAUAAAGGUCUAAUUUCUCAAAUAUAUAAAGAACCAACUCAAAUUUAUAAGAAACUAAGUCAUUCCCCAAUUGAUAAAUGGUCAAAGGAUACAAAUAAGCAAUUUUCAGCUAAAGAAAUCAAAGUUAUCAAUAAUCCUAUUAAAAAUGUUCUAAAUCCCUCUUGAUUAGAGAAAUGCAAAUUAAAACAACUCUGAUAACAUCUUAUACCUAGUGAUUAGUCAAUAUGACAAUAAAAGAAAAUAAUAAAUGUUAGAGGGACUGCGGCAAAAUUGGAACACUAAUGCAUUGCUGGUGGAGUUGUGAAUUGAUCCAACCAUUCUGGAAGGCAAUUUGGAAUUAUACUCAGAAGGCAUUAAAAUAAUGCAUACCUUUUGAUCCAGCAAUACCACUACUAGGUCUAUAUACCAGAGAUAAAAAAAAAAACAAAUGGGAAAGGACCUGUUUUUUCAAAACUAUUUAAAGCUGCUCUUUUUUGUGAUGGCAAAGAAUUAGAAACUAAAGGGAUGUUCCUCAAUUGGGGAUGGCUGAACAAAUUGUGGUAUAUGAUGAUGAUAGAAUACUAUUGUGCUAUAAAGAAUGAUGAGCAGUAUGAUUUCAGAAAGAACUGGAAAGACCCAAUGUGAAUUGAUACAGAGUGAAAUAGCAGAACCAGGAGAAUGUUGUACAUAGUAACUAAAAUAUCAUGGGAUGAUCAAAUAUAAUAGGUUUUGCUUCUAAUAACAAUAUAAUGAUCCAGGACAGUUCUGAGGGACUUAUGAAAAAAAGAAUGCUAUUUAUAUCCAGAAAAAGAACUGUUGAAAUGCAUUUAUCACUUGUUUAUUUGGACAUAUGAUUUGGGGUUUUGAUUUUAAAUGAUUAUUUUCUUACACAAAUGAGAAAUAUGGAAAUAUGUUUUGAAUGAUAAUACAUGUAUAAUUCAGUAGAAUUGCUUGUCAACUCCAGGAAGGGGGAGGGAAGAGGGGAGGGAGAAAACAUGAAUCAUAUAAUUUUGAAAAACUUAUGUGUAAAUUUGUUAUUAUAAUAAAAUAAAGAUAAAAUUUAAUAAAAAUAAAAAGAAAUAAA